rnacentral:rRNA from 1 species
UACGUAGGGGGCGAGCGUUGUCCGAAUUUACUGGGCGUAAAGCGCGCGUAGGCGGUUUAUUAAGUUGGUGGUGAAAUUCCGGGGCUCAACUCCGGGGCUGCUGCCAAUACUGGUAGGCUUGAGUUAUGGAGGGGGAAGUGGAAUUCCUGGUGUAGCGGUGAAAUGCGUAGAUAUCAGGAGGAACACCGGUGGCGAAGGCGGCUUCCUGGCCAUAUACUGACGCUGAUGUGCGAAAGCUAAGGUAGCGAACGGG